rnacentral:lncRNA from 1 species
CUAACGUGGUUUCUGAACUUCCUGACGUUCAGAAAAAAGCACUUGAUGAACUUAAACAACUUAUUCAAGAAGCGCUUAACAAACAUGAAUUCACCGCUCCUCCACCCGCUCCAGUCAAAGCACCUGAACCUGAAGUAGCUGUAAAAGAAGAGAAAAAGCCUGAAGAAGAUGAAAAGAAAACCGAAGAGGUGGUAGAAGAGAAGAAAGAUGAAGCAGUAGUUGAGGAGAAGAAGGUUGAUGAAGAAAAAGGUUCAAC